rnacentral:rRNA from 1 species
GAUGAACGCUGGCGGCGUGCCUAAUACAUGCAAGUCGAGCGAACAGACGCGGAGCUUGCGCCUCUGAUGUUAGCGGCGGACGUGUGAGUAACACGUGGAUAAUCUCCCUAUCAUACUGGGAUAACUUCGGGAAACCGGAGCUAAUACCGGAUAACCUCCUGAACCGCAUGGUUCAACAGUGAAAGACGGUCUUGCUGUCACUUAUCGAUGGAUCCGCGCCGCAUUAGCUAGUUGGUAAGGUAACGGCUUACCAAGGGAACGAUGCGUAGCCGACCUGAGAGAGUGGUAGCAGACAUGAGAAGUGAGACGGGGACAAGACGCCUAAGAGACGCAGCAGAAGGCAAUGGUAGGCAGUGGGGGAAAGAAUGACGGAGUAACGGCAAGUGAGAGAAGAAGAUCUUGGGAGCGUGAAACUCGGUUAUGAGGGAAGAACAAAUGUGGAAGGAAAUAUACACGGAUUGACGGUAACUGAUCAGGAAGCAACGGCUAACUACGUG